CCCCCGCCGCCCCACCACCGCGGCUGGUCACUCACCCGGGUUGAAAAGCACCGUCCCCUUGAGCAUCCUCUGAGAAGACAACUGAGCCUUUGAUGAACCAAACUUCUACAAAUGAAGAAAAACAGAGGUGAUCCAGCACAGGAACAGCUUGCUCAGAGAGGCAGUGGAGUCUCCAUCCUUGAAGAUACUCAAACUGCAACUGGACACAGCUCUGAGCAACCUGCUCUUGCUGACUCUGUUCUGAGCAGAUGUUUGGACCAGAUGAUUUUGCAGGUGCCUUCCUGCCUCACCUGGUCUGUGACUCUAAAUAGGAAGAAGGAAAUAAAUAGAAAAUAAUUUGUACAAA